ACACGUUUAAAGAGGCUACAGCUGAGUUCGAAAGUUGGCUGAGGAAGUCUGUAUUGAAGAGAUAAGGAACCAGAUGGGUUUGGGGAGCAGUUCCUGGAGUGGCUGGCGGCAGAGAAGUAGCAACUUGAGCUGAAAGGCUGAACUGGGUCCCGAGUGGAAAAUACCAGAAGCGGAUGGUGUUGGCUCCUCCUACCAUCAUUGCACACCCAUGCGAGUCCUUUCUCCAAAUACCGUGGUGGUCUCCAGUAUUUGAGGGCAAUGAAAUCUUGUUCACAGGUGACCAAAGGUAACAGCUGCUGGAGGGUAGGGGACAAGUAGUGACUAUUCCCACACUUAUGGGGCACGGAGAGCCUCUAUGAUCACCCUGUUUUACUACAUUCUCCUUCCUGUGGUUUGCUUUAGUGCCUCAAGGUUCUGUUGAGUCGUGAACUAAGCUGUGUCCUUAUCUUGGUUUCUGACCCUGAGAUGUGGGGUCCCUAGGGACAUAUCUCUGCCCCCUUCUAAUCUGUAUCCUUCACUGCUCCAAGGCCACAGCUCCAGAAACCCCACUUCUGAGCCAUACCAGCUCACACCAGGACCUCACUUCCUAGUUUCCCCAGGGCGCUCUCUCAAGCACUCCUGCUUUGGGACAAAGAGUCAGAGCUUCCUAGAGUCCAGCCAAGCCCAGGACAGCAGAGGCAGGUGGCAGUUGUCCUCCUGCCUCAAACAAAAGCAAUCAAGCCAUCAUCCUGAUUUCUUUUUAAAUCAAUUCCCAUGACAAAUGUGUCUGUGAAAGAGGGCUGGCUGCCUCCGGGCGUUCACCGCUUCAAUGAGGACAACAGAAGGAGCAGGAUUCAUAAAACUAUAAUGUGUUAUUUGAACAGAUUUCCCGGUAACCUGACCCUGUAGUCUUAGAAUCGGCUCAGCCUUCACCAGGUCCAGAUGGAGCCUCUCUGUAGCCUCCUCAGGGGACAGGAGCAGCUCUGUGUGCCUGAUUGACCAGGGGACACUUGUAUGGAGGGGAUCAGAGUGGUUGGGAGCAGCGGACAGGGGUUCUGGGUGCUUCCUCUAGCACUGGGAGACCCGGCUUGUCUGAUCAGGUUUUCUUGCUCAUGUGUUGAGCCUGUGACCGAUCUCCCUCUGUGACAAGAGUAUACACGAUGAACAUAAACCUUAACACACCAUGGGAGCUGUAUGUGAACUGUGCCAGGCUCCUGUGGGAGCACAGUGAGGCAGGCUGGGAGCUGUCACCAGUCUGUCCUAAAGAGAAUCAGAGCCAAAUGAAGCUAGCCACACUUUAGACUUGACCUCCAAUGAGGUCACCAGGCAAACGGCUGGAAUGGUCCAGACAAUGGGAAAUUCCAAGAAGUGUAAGCACCCAAGACCCAAGAGUUAAUGGAAGCCUAGCACUAGGCAGGCGAACCUGAGCUGUGACUGUCAAGACCAGCGGUCACUUUGGGCUCAGGCGGAUAAUGCAUGGGAAUACAAACCCAGGGGGACUGGCCCCUAAUGGCCAUUGUAGACUUUGUCCUUUCAGUGCCCAGCAGCGACCAUGUGCUGGGGCUCUGCUGCCCACACUGGAAGAAGCAAAGAAAGCAGCUGAAAUGCCAAGAACAGUCUGUCUCUACUGAGGCUCACCUUAAGGAGAAGGUAAACGACCAUGGCUGAUCCUGCUGGGAUUCGUCAGAGGGGUGGAAAUAGCCAACACCAGACAGACCCUUCUAGUCUUCCACCCAAUGAACUGAAGACCUGAGGGCCAUUGUGCACUUUACAGCUUGGGCCCAGGGGUUUGUGCAGAGGCUGAGACCCAGUCCUCAGGCUAUGGGAUAUUUCCCUCCCCACUUCCAAAUUAUGCUACUGAAGGUGUGCGCAGGGACAAGUGUCUACACACCAUACUCUGAAUCUCCCCAGGACCCAGACAGAGGAUGUCACUUGAGUUGUAUGAAGGAAGUGGGGCUCAGAGGGACAGGAGACCAGGAGGGAACCCUGUAAAUAGCAAACCAGGAGCUAGGACCCAGAUUAGGUGUCCUUGCCCAUCGAGCAAGCAGCAGCGGGCGUCUCCCAACCUCUUCCAUCAGCACCAAGUCUCUUUCCGUAGAGAGUCCUCAGUGUGAAACCAGGAGUAACCCAGAGCUAUGCAGGUGACCUCAAAUAGCUUCUUCCAGCUUGUCUCAAGGAGGCCUCCAGGGGUGACUCUAGCAGGUUUGGGUCCCGCUGAGCUUCUCUGUGUCACACCUGUCCCAGUCCCCUUCAGAGGAGCUAGGGAAGCUGCUGUUGAUGUCCAGUGACAACUCCAGGCUCCUGGCGGGGCUCAGGGCCAACCUGUCUCCACGAUGAGAGGCUGUGCCCUUUGCUGACUGCUUCAAGAGCAAUCUGUGCUGCUUGGCAGAGGCGAACAGACAAACCUUGACUUCCUCUGCCCUUAACUAGGGUAAGCAUAAAGAGAUAGAACAGGGACUCAACAAUCAGGCUCUGAUAUCGGACCAUCUGGGUUCUAGUCUCGCCUGUGGCUGCAUGACCUUAAGAAAGCUCCCCAGUCUUGGAUUUUCCUUAUUAAAAGCAUAUGAUAAUCAAAGCCAGAUUAUGACUGCUUCAGGGGAUGAAGAGGAUACAACAAUACACUAGGUCUUAGCUCCCAGUAGAAGAAGAUGAUAAACUGUUAUUAGUAUUAGGAUAUUCCCCUCUGAGGCAUCUGUAAAGGGACAGAAGAGUCCACCAUAAUGCAAGCUUCGGUGACCAUAAGUCAGUUGUUAUCUGGCUGGGAAAAGGAGGCGGCUACCCAAGCCCAUCUUGGGUGGAAGGUUACCAAAAAGGCUUCCAGAGAGCCAGGGAGGGCUUAGCCCUCAGGAGGCUCCACCCCGUUACAUCAGGAUAUUAUUGUUGUAAGUUAGAAAUUACUUGACCGUCAGGAUGAGCCAUCUGAAUUGAGAGCUUUAUUUUCCUCACUUUGGUCCGGCUUGACCAUCUCUCUGGGGAAGGCACAUGAGUGACAAGCUAUAAUUAAAGCCUCAGUGUUGUUCUCGAUGGAGAGGAACGAGUCUGUGGUCAAGCACGCAGAUGAGGACCGUCUGCAGGCCCCUUCUCCUUGUUGCUCUGUCUGCUAAAACGGGCGACCCCUCUUCUUAAGACCCUUACUGGCCCGUCUCCAGCCCAUCUGGCAGGUUUUGAGCUCUGGGAAUUCUUUGCACAGAGAGUCCUGGGGGGUGUCUGUCUGGAGACAAUGGGUUUGAGUGACGGUACCCAGGAAGCCCUGCAGUCUAUAGUAGGGAUGGGAUUGCUCUCCCAGGUUAUAUCUCCCUGGUCCCAUCUGUACUAGGUGCCCUGGUGCCCUGCUACAUUACGGCAAGCCUGGGAAUGUGCGAAGGAGGUACUGCUUGGCGGAGGAGAGGUUUCUCCCUACUAGAAGCUAUUGUUAGCUCAUGCCAUCCUACUGGCCUGACGUUGCUGCCCAUGUACCCAGCCUUUUCUAAGGGGAGAGGGUGUUUUCCCCUCUCUGGGGUCUCAUUCUUUCAUUUGAUCAGCAAAUAUUUAUUGAGGACUUGCACUGUGCCUUAGAAACAGAGACAAGCAGGCAGGCUUGCCCCUGGCUCAGAGAGGAGAGUUAGGUACCAAGGGACUGAGAGGACACCUCCAAGUCACACUGAGGACAGCUCCAAGCCACAGGGAAGUCUCAGGCAGUGCAGUCCCCCCUUCCCCCCCCAAGUGUGCUGGGAGAAGGGAGCAAAGCGGCAUCCACUUCCAGGCCAGGGCCCCAAAUUUCCUUCUCCCAGUCUCUAGCCUAUGUCACUGUCCUAGGCCAGUGGGCCACAGUGUUAUGUAUGUGAUCUUUUCCAGACCAUCUGGAUGGCCUUGAUCCUUCUAGCCAUUCCUUAGCAAGUAUACAGGAAGGGACACCGUAAGCUAACUGCUUCCUGCAUACCUGUUUCUUUGUUGUGUAAGAAGAAACUCACAGGCCCUCUUGCCAUCUACAGCAUCCUCAGGAAGCCAGGGUUCUCCACAAGCGGGAUCAGUCGUUUAAUUUCUUAUUUUUUUCUCCUAAACCAGCUUUCUGAUUGAAUCCUUGGACCUGUCGGGUUGGUCCCCAAUCACUCUCUAGAGAGUAACCUCUGAGGUGCGUGUGGGAGCUCAUACCUGCAAACCUCCCCCCCUUCUCCACGCCAGCAAGCUGGGGCAGGCAGCUUGUCAUACGUUUCAGGCCAAUCUGGGUUACAGAGGGAGACUCUGCCUUGAAGCAAAAGCAACAAAGCGAGGAAUGUCUUCAGGCAGUACCCCUCACUUGUCUGUGAUCACUUUUGGUGUGAGGGAGAGUAUGGGGCAUUCGUUGCCUGGCUUUCUCUCUGAGGAACUGGCAGUAACUGGGUCACCUUGCCUGUCAAGAAGCAUCCCUCACUGCGGACCCCACUCUCCCUGGACUCCUGCAAACUUUCCAGGGCUGUUCUAACAAGAUAUCAUCAACAACAUGCCUGGGAAUAGAGAUGAUUUCGGGUGCUGGUUUUGGUUUUACCUUCGCUAAAGUGGAGAGAAGAUUCGCACAUGUGCCUGCCUAUUCCACCAGGCCACUGAACCCCACAGACAAGGGACCAGCGGGGCCACACUCCAUCCGAAAGCUAUCAGGAGACCUCACCUUCAAUAACUCCCAGAGUUCACUGACUCCUUAUUAUAGCAUAGUGAGCUGUGAGGAGAACGCUCUCUCACUUCUGCCGGUGUCUGGGGGCUUACUGGCCACCCGUGGUAUGCUUCCAUGUUUCUCACUUGUAGAAGUGGCAUUUCAGAUUGUUGUCAUUGUCAUGUACUGUUCUGCUGGCCUCUGUCCAUCUCAAUGUCUAUUCUGAGGACACCAGUCACACGGAUACAGAUCUGCCCGCUCCAGCAUGAAUGACCUCAUCAGAAACACAGUGGCAACAACUUUAUCUCCAAAUAAAGUCAUGUCACGAGACACUGGGGUGAGGGUUUGAAAAGAUCACCUUGGGGGACACAUUUCAAACCUGAUCUACAGUUGCUGAAAACCCCUGUCCCCUCAAAGGCUAUAGCAAUGGCUAGUGUCAACACUGCCAGCCAAUUGCAAGAUGCCACAGGGAAGGGUUGUGUUGGCAUCAUUGUCCUUUGAUCUGAGAGCCGAAACAAAAUGCAGUACACGUUCAGUAAAUGCUUCUUGACGCUGUUGGUGACAGUGUCUUGCUUGUCCUGGCUCAGUCUCAAGAUCUAGCCACAAAGCUGCUCCUCAGCACACGGUCUACCCAGGGCCAGUUUCUCAGGGUCCUUGUGGUCUGGUCUUCAGUUGAACCCUGACAUCACCGACUCCUUCAUCAUCAGUCCUGGGAGAGGUCAGCCCCCCGACCCUCAAUGAGACCCUUACUUUCAGUGUGACAGCUAUUUUACCCGGCAGUAGGCAAACAGAGAUAUUUUAAGAUGAGUGUGUCAGCUGGGGUCAGUUUCCGCUUGGCUAUCGCUGGUGCUGUCAGGAGGAGAGCGGGUUUGGCUGUCCGGAGGGAACCCAUCAAUCACUCCUGACAGCCCUUAAUCAGACAAAGGAGCCCUCACCACCGUGUUACAGAGAGGGAGAGACUAUAGUAUUGUUCAAGCUCAACAAAGAAUUUUGGACAGGAAUUUUAAGUUGUAAAUACAAUCUCUCUGUCUUCCAAGCAUUUAGAUCCCUAAAGCCUCAGGUCCUCUCAGGUCUGAGGACCUUCUACUCUUUAUUCUAGGAAACUGGCCUCUUUAUUCAAAGACAGACAGACAGAUGCACGCACGCACACACACACACACACACACACACACACACACACACAACAUUCACUGGUCUCCUCUGAUAUACUAGGUGCUUUGGGCAGUGUAUCAAGAAGCCUGUGGUCUUGGGCCAGCAAGAUGGCUAAGUGGGUAAAGGUGCUUGCCACCAAGUCCAACAACUUAAGUUCAAUUCCCAGCUUACACACGAGGAAUGAAAGUUGUCCUCUGACCAUAACACUGAAUCACUGAUGCUGUGGUACAUGCGUACACAUUCAUCUCUCUCUCUCUCUCUCUCUCUCUCUCUCUCUAACACACACACACACACACACACACACACACACACACACAGUGAAUAAUAUAAAUAAAAUUAGGAAAAACACCCAUUAAAAGGAGGCCUAUGGUUCUUAAUGGAAGCAAAAGGCUCAUGAACAAAAAGGCCCCAAGCUACAUGAGCAGCCCUGGCGCUAAGGUAGCUCAGCGUGUUGGGGAAACCCAGAGGGGUCUCAGCCAAACCCACUUGUUUGCACCUUCGUCUGACUGCUUUUAUUCUUGCAGGCCCGGGACAGUGGCAGGCGGCAUGAGACACUGCAUGGCUUGGGGGAACAAAUCUUUUGUUGCAUUAACGCUUUUCAUCCUCCACCUUGAACGAGGCAGAUGCUCCCUGCAGAGCUGUCGACUGAAUAAAGAAAUGAGUUUAAUGAUCA
rnacentral:sRNA from 1 species